rnacentral:rRNA from 1 species
GGUUAAGUGAAUAAGUGCAUACGGUGGAUGCCUAGGCGGUAAGAGGCGAUGAAGGACGUAGAAGGCUGCGAUAAGCCUCGGGGAACUGCCAACAAGUUUUGAUCCGAGGAUUUCCGAAUGGGGAAACCCACCAGUUUACUGGUAUCCCGCAAGGGAAGCGAACGAAGCGAACUGAAACAUCUAAGUAGCUUCAGGAAAAGAAAUCAACCGAGAUUCCCUAAGUAGUGGCGAGCGAACGGGGAUUAGCCCAUGAAGUGUAUAAACGGUUAGUAGAAUGAUCUGGAAAGGUCAGCGAUACAGAGUGAUAGCCUCGUAUACGAAAACCCUUAUGCAUGAUAACGAGUAGGGCGGGACACGUGAAAUCCUGUCUGAAUAUGGGGGGACCAUCCUCCAAGGCUAAAUACUCCUUACCGACCGAUAGUGAACAAGUACCGUGAGGGAAAGGCGAAAAGAACCCCGGAAGGGGAGUGAAAUAGAACCUGAAACCGUAUGCAUACAAGCAGUGGGAGCACCCUUGUGGUGUGACUGCGUACCUUUUGUAUAAUGGGUCAGCGAGUUGAUUUUAGUGGCGAGGUUAACCGAAUAGGGGAGCCGUAGGGAAACCGAGUCUUAAUAGGGCGACUAGUCGCUAGGAUCAGACCCGAAACCACGUGAUCUAUCCAUGGCCAGGAUGAAGGUGUCGUAACAGACACUGGAGGUCCGAACCCACGCCUGUUGAAAAAGUCGGGGAUGAGCUGUGGAUAGGGGUGAAAGGCUAAUCAAACGUGGAGAUAGCUGGUUCUCUUCGAAAGCUAUUUAGGUAGCGCCUCGUAUAUAACUGUCGGGGGUAGAGCACUGUUAUGGUCUCGGGGGGCGUCAAGCUCUACCAGCCCAUUGCAAACUUCGAAUACCGACAAGUUUUAGUGCGGGAGACAGACUGCGGGUGCUAACGUCCGUAGUCAAGAGGGAAACAACCCAGACCGCCAGCUAAGGUCCCAAAUUAUUGCUCAGUGGGAAAGGAUGUGGGAAGGCACAGACAGUCAGGAGGUUGGCUUAGAAGCAGCCACCCUUUAAAGAAAGCGUAAUAGCUCACUGAUCGAGUCGGCCUGCGCCGAAGAUUUAACGGGGCUAA